CCGGUCACUCACCCGCCCACUCCCCCGUCUUCUUGAGGUUGACGUUGAGGGCGAGGAUGGACGCCAGGAAGCAGCCGUAUAUCCCUUUAACGAGUGACCAGCCCAGCCUGCACGCCACCAGGGCCACGGCCGCCUUGCCCACCAGCUCCCACAUCCUGCAGCACACACGGACACACUCAGGCACACGGACACACACGGCGGGGCGGCAGGAGAGUGUGUGAGUGUGUGUGUG